ACGGCCGUACCAUGCUAAUUAUACCAGUUCUCGUUAGAUCACCGAAGUCAAGCAUCAUUGGGCGCGGUUAGUACUUGGGUGGGUGACCACCUGGGAACACCGCGUGCCGUU
rnacentral:rRNA from 1 species